AUUUGCGAAUCUGGCAUUUAAUUCCUGAUUCUAAACAGCUGAUCGAAAACACACGGUCAGGGAAAGUGAUUCACAGAGCCGCAAAGACAAGUCACCAUGACCUGCGCUUCUGGCGCUGUACAUUCAUCUCUCCUGUAUGCUAAACCACAGCCGAGCACAUCUUCAGCAGGACAUGCUCUCAUUUACACCCGACAGAAACUCGAUCUACAGUCCCAUUUCAUGGCAGCCUCUAGAUGGCAGUGGUACAUUUCAGGAUGACACAUCAAUACGCAUGUUUUCUUGAUUGACUAUUGAUGACUAUUUCACCAUCCCAUCGGCCCAUCUGUGGAGGAUCAGUGCUGUAGAGGACCGUCCAGGCCUGCCUUCUUACCAUAUCACCUUCAGAUAAGAAGAGAGAUCUCAGAACGAGCAGACGAGAGGACACAGCGCAGGCGCAGCGUUUAAACAUAGCCACGGAAAAUGUGAAGACGGGACAGACGGAAGAGAAAUAGGAGCGAGAACAAAGGAUAAGUGAAGAUGAAGGUACAAAGGGUGACCGGGGAGAGAGAGAUGAUAAAAUAAGACAAGGCAAUUCCUUUUUUCUCAUGCACCUCUGCAGAAGAGCUCUGAGCGUCUGUAAGGUUCGAGGUAAACAUGUCCUCUGUCUGUGAUGUAUAGGGCUGCGUGUCUGUUGUGUGAGUGUUUACUGUUAACUCUCCACUCCCUCCCUAUUACCGGAGCCCGAGUCCUGGCCCCUGACGGCCCCUCGCUCUGUUUACCCCAUCUACCUCUGUUUACUGCCACACAGAAGAGACAUUUGCCACCGUCACACCAGCUCUCCACCGGGACAGGGCUGAGAAUCGGGUCAGGAUAACAAACAC